rnacentral:lncRNA from 1 species
GUUAUGUGACUUGUCGGGGUGAUUGGUUCGGGUUCGGUGAAGUUUUGGAAUGAAUUGGAACACUUAGUUCCAAGGUUUAAAGCUUAAGUUGAAAUAGUUGAUCGGAUGUUGAUUUAUGUGUAAACGACCUCAUAAUAGAAUUUUGAUGAUUCCAAUAGCUUCGUAUGUUGAUUUUAGACUUAAGAGCGUAUCCAGAUUAUAAUUUGGAGGUCCGUAGUGGAAUUAGGCUUGAAAUGGCGGAAGUUAAUUUUUUGGGAAGUUUGACCGGGGGGUUGACUUUUUGAUAUCGGGGUCGGAAUCCGAUUCUGGAAUUUGGAAUAGGUCUGUUAUGUCAUUUAUGACUUGUGUGCAAAAUUUAAGGUCAAUCGGACUUGAUUUGAUAGGUUUCAGCGUUGAAAGUAGAAGUUGAAAGUUCUUAGUUUCAUUAGGCUUGAAUUGGGGUAUGAUUCGUAGUUUUAACGUUGUUUGAAGUGAUUUGAGAGUUCGACUAAGUUCGUAUGAUGUUAUGGGACUUUGAUGGUAUAUUUGGUUGAGGUCGCGGGAGCCUCGGGUGAGUUUCGGAUGGGUGACGGUCUGACGGAUCAUUUUUAGUACUUGGCUUAGUGGCUGAAGAUUGUUGGUGUAUUUUUCUAGUUUUCUUCUUCGCGUUCACAAGUGGGUAUCACAUUCGCGAAGGGGAAUUUGAGGCAGGCAAGAUUUUUACUUCGCAUUCGCGAGGGGGUCUCGCGUUCGCGAAGAGGAGUUGGGGGUUAGGCGAGGUUGUUCUUCGAGUUCGCGAUUGGGUAUCGCGUUCGCGAAUGGAAAAAUAAUUGGGGUGGGUUUUUGCCUUCGCAUUCGUGAAGGGGAGCUCGCGUUCGCGAAGAGGAGCUCGAUAAAGCAUUGCGUUCGCGAGCAGUGUCUCGCGUUCGUGAAGGGCAAUGUUGGGCAGCACAAAUUUGUGGUUCGCGAACGCGAGGGACCUGUCGUGUUCGCGAAGAAGAGUGGUCUGGACAGAAAGUUUAUGUUCUGAAAAUGGGACUUCGUCCCAUUUUCUAUUUUUGACGGAUUGGAGCUCGAGAAGAGGUAAUAUUUGGGAGAUUUUCAAGGAAAACAACGGGGUAAGUGCUCUUAACUCAUUAUUGGUCAAAUUACCCAAAUCCAUGAUUGUUUUUAACAUUUAAUGGAUGUAUUAAGUUGUAAAUUUUAGAAAAUCCUAUUGGUUUAAUUUGAAGAUUUGAGGGUCGAGUUGAUGUAGAAAUUUGGUAAAAUUGGUAUGGUUAGACUCGUGGUUGAAUGGGUUUUCGGAUUUUGUAACUUUUGUCGGGUUCCGAGACGUGGGCCCCACAUGCAAUAUUUGAGUUAAAUUUCUUAUUUUAUUGAAAAAUUAGUAUUUUCUUAUGGAAUUAAUUAUAAUAAAUUGUAUUAACUAAAUUGAAUUAAUUGUGGCUAGAUAUGAGGAUUUCGGAGACCAAUUCACGAGGUAACGGCAUAGCAGAGUAAGAAAUUACACGGUUUGAGUUAAGUAACACUUUUAAACUUGGUUUUGAGGCUAUGAAUCCCCAAAUUGGUGUUAUAUAAAUUGUUUGGAGGUGACACACAUGAUAGUUGACGAGCGUGUGGACAUGCACCAUUGAAAUUUUGACUUGAAUAAAUUUUAUGAAGUUGUAAAAAUUAAAGAAUCAUGUUGUUAUUUGAGCAUUUCCCAUGUCUUAGAGAAAUUGAGCUGAGGCUCUUAUUAAAGAUCAUGUUUAGGCUACGUGCCAAUAAUUUGGGAUCCAUGGGGUCGUGUUGCUGUUAAAUUAAUUAUUUUAAAAAUAUACAUUUCACACUCAAUUAUAUUUAUCCAUUGUGAGAAUAUUUAUGGGAUCGAGCUGCGCGCCGCAGUAGGCCAUAUUAGCUUUAUAUAUUAUUAUUAUUAUUAUAUGGAUCGGGGUUGCUCGCCUGCAGUAGGCCUUAUAAGCUAUACUAUUAUAUGGAUCGGGGUUGCCUUCCUGCAGCAAGCCUUAUAGGCUUUAUUAUUAUACGGAUCGGGACUGCCCGCCUGCAGUACGCCAUAUCGGCUUUAUAUCACGCUUGGGCUGAAGGAGCCCCUCCGGAGUCUGUACACACUCCCAGUGAGCAUAGAUGAUUAUAUAUUCGGGAUGGACUUCCCAAGGCAUGGACUUGCCUUACUUAUUUAUAUUGUGAUGAAUUUUCCUGGACAUGGAUCUUGUCCGUAUCAUUUAUAUUUGGGGAUAAAUUACCCCAGGGCUGGAUUGGCCUUAUACGGUACUAAGUGACUGACUGUCAGUCGAUGUGUAUAUAUAUAUAGGUUGGAAUAUCCUUGGGCCGGAUUGGCCAUAAACAGUACCGAGUGACUGAAUGAUUUGUGACCAGUAUUACAUGAGGUCUUUCCACUGAGAUGUCAUAUUCCUCAUAUCAUGCAGUAUUGAUCAAUUUCACUUGUACUGAGUUUAACUGUUGAACUUGAAAGCAUGCCUAUAUUUCUGUACCAUUAUUUAUACUGGACUGUACUUGCGGAGCUCGUCACUACUUUCAGCCCAAAGGUUAGUCUUGUUACUUAUUGAGUUGGUUGUACUCAUACUCCAUUUGCACCUCGUGUGCAGAUCCAGGUGCUUUCGGACACGGCGACCAUUAGAUCUCAGAGUGCUAUCAGUUGGAGACAAUCAAGGUAGAUGCCUGGAGUCUGCUGACCUUGACUCUCUUUCUUUCAGUUAUUGUAUUGUUCUAUACUUUCAGACAUGGUUUUAUCAGUGAGACUUUGUAUUCAUAUUAGAUGCUCAUGUACUCAGUGACAUGAGUUUUGGGAGUGUUUAUAUCUAUAUUUGUGAGAUUUCUUCCGCUGAAUUUAAAUAUUAUGUUUUCAAACUUAAAAGAUAUGGUGGUUUAUUGAGAUUGCCGGCUUGUCUAGUAUUGAGAUAGGCGCCAUCACGACAGGUGAGAUUUUUGGUCGUGACAUAUUACAUCAGUGCUCUUUCAUGCUUAAGGGUAGAAAUUUAGGCUAUCUAGUUUCCAUGACAAAUGUGGCUUCAUGGUCCCUCGUUAAAAUAUUUUCUGUAUAAUAUGUCUGAUGAUGCAGCGGCUACCUCGCCUUUUGUUCUGAAAUAAUAUUUGAUUCCUCUCCUGCCAUAUGAAAUAAACACAACCUGCAAGUGACAUUCUGUAGAUUUCAACAUCUACAUUCUUGCCAUUACAGUGGGUGACUGCCCAAGCUACCUCAUCAUGACAUCCCAUUAGUUCUCUGAUUAUUCCCUGCCAUUGUAGCAGUUGGUGCCAUAUCUCCACAGAUAUCAUUCUCUACAUUACACAAAGGACAAGCUGAGUUUGUGGUGAUACCCCAUUGCAUCAACUUGUCCCUAAUAUAUAACCUUUCAUGAGCAACUAGCCUUAGAAUGAAUAUCUAUUUUGGUGCACCAUAGUUAUUGCACACCAGUUUCUUCCAAUCUACUUUAGGGAAGUCCCCCCUUAGCUUCUUGCAGUAGUCUUUGAUGGAGAACUGAUGAAUAUUGAUCAAAUCUUGCAUGCCCAUCCCAACUUGAAUCACAUACUUACUAGCUUUCACUAUUUUUUCUGUAGCAACCAUGAUACAUGAUUACACCUAGCUUCCUAUAUUGGAAUGUUUGCACCAUAGUAAGCAUGAACCCAGCGCACCCAUAAUCUGUCCUUUGAAAAUUGUUUGAAAAUGGCAGCUUUGUUCCAUAUUUCUACAUCAACAAAGUUUACUCGCCCCCGCUGUCAUGGGAUAACACAAAGUUUUCCAAGCAAGAAGUGUUUUGUUAGAACUUCCUGUAUCUCCAGUCCAUAAGAAUCUUCGACAUGUUGUCACUAUCAAGUUGAUUAUCCUCUUUGGCAAAACAAAAAUAUGCGACCAAUAUGUUUGAAUAGCAAACAAGACACUCUUAAUUAGCAUUACUCUUCCAGCAUAGGAAAGAAACUUACUGGUCCAGCUUGUGAUUUUACCCAACAUCUUAUCUAUCAAUGGCUGACAUUGUGUAAUAGAUAGCCUUUUAGAGCUUAGGGGCACCCCCAGGUAUCUGAAUAGAAGCUCCCCUUUUAAAAAUCCUAGUAUAGCUAAUAUCUGUUGUUGAAGCACUGGAUUAACUCCCCCAAAGUAUACCGAGAUCUUUGUAAGAUUGGCAGUAAGUCCAGAUGCCCGUGAAAAUUCCCGAAAACAGUUGAAUAGCAGUUGCACUGAAGUUUUAUCACCCUUGCAAAAUAAUAGUAGGUCAUCAGCAAAUCCAAGCCGAGUGAUCUUAAGUUUAGCACACUUAGGGUGGAACUUCAAUGCCGGAAUUUUUAUCAUAUUUUUUAGUAGUCUGCUCAAGUACUCCAUCACAAGCACAAAUAAAUAGGGGGACAUUAGAUCCCCCUAUCUAAGGCCCCUCUUUGCUGCAAAAGGUCUACUUGGUUUGUCAUUAAUGUUGAUUGAGUAGGACACUAUUUUCAAACAGGUCAUGAUCUAGCUCACAAACUUUGUUGGAAAGUGCAAACCUUGUAGUACCUGUUCAAUAAAUACCCACUCUAUAGAGUCAUAUUCCUUCUGCAUAUCAAUUUUGAGCAUGCAUCUGGGAGAUAUCCCUUUCCUACCAUAACCUUUAACAAGUUCAUGUCCCAAGAUGAUAUUGUCUAUAAUAACUCUACCCAGCACAAAUGCAAAUUGACUAUUAUCAACUAACUCAGGCAUAAUAGCUUGCAUCCUCUUAGUAAUCACCUUGGAUAUAAUUUUGUAUAGCACAGUACAACAGGAGAGAGGUCUAAACUCUUUUACACUAAGAGGGUUCCUUACUUUCGGUAUGAGUGUCACUGAAGUGCAAUUGAUGGGCAUGUGCAUGUCUCCUCUCUUAAAGAAUUUAUCAACAGCCUCAGUGAUUCCCCCCCCCUCCCCCCCAAAUGCCCUGCCAGCCUGUCUUAAAGAAAUGGGCAUUAAAGCCAUCACAUCCAGGGGCCUUCUGAUCAUCAAUGUCCAUCAAAGCAUUGAAAAUUUCCUUAUCAGUCACAGGUGAGAUUAGCUGUAAUUGUUGAUCUCUGCUAAGUCUAUUUCGUUCCUGAAAUAUAUCCAAUUGAACAACAGGAGGGCAUGUUCCAGCAGAUCCUAGCAAACUUUGAUAGAAUUUUAAGAUUUCUGUCUCCACCUCUCUUUCUGUGUGUUCAAUGUUGCCAUCCAGUGUAUUCAACCGUCUUAUUUGAUUAUGGGCCACCAUGUUCUUCAUGCACGCAAAGAAGUAUGCAUUGUUUGAGUCUCCCAGGUGUAGCCAUUUAACUCUUGAUUUAUGCUUGAGAAUGCUCUCAUAAAUAGAUAUCCAUUUUUCUAACUGCAUUUUAAGCUCCUUUGCCCUCUCAACUAGUACCACCUGUUCAUUUGGAUCUCUUGAUUGGACUUGGAUUUCAGCCAAGAGUUUCCUGCAUUCCUCCACCUUCUCACCUAUCCUUGAAUACUCCUUAGUGUUUAGGUUUUUCAAUCCUUGUUUCACCUGUUGCAAUCUAGUCCAGAUGCCAUGCAUCCCUUGUUUAUGUCUUCCAUUGCUCUAUUCAUUGCCCACCACAUUUAGGAAAUCAGGGUGUUGCACCAAAUGAUUUAGAAAUUUGAAUGGUCGUGCACCCUUAAUAGGGAUGUCUGCAAACUCCACAACUAGUGGUGAAUGGUCUGAAAACCCUGGGUCAAGAGUAGUAGCUUCCAAGUGUGUCCAUCGAAUUAUCCAUUCACUAUUACCUAGUGCCCAGUUGAUCUUGCUAUGUGUAUGAUUAUUACUCCAAGUAUACCUCAUUCUAGUUGUCUUUAUCUCUGUCAUAUUAGUGUCCACCAGGAAUUGUUGAAAAUCAGCUACCUCAAAUUCCUGGAUUGGGUUCCCAUUUAGUCUGUCAUCAAGAUGUGUGAUGGCAUUUAGUAUACUGUUUACUUUUAUUAAACUGUAGGUCGCGCUUGUUCUUUCAGUGACCUACUUUAUUUACUUAAUUUUCUUUAAAAAAUUUCAAAUAUUCUCAACGACUAUAAACACUAGUUGUUUUAGCAGCAUUUUUUAAUGGAUUUAAUUAUAGGGUGCGACUUUUUCUCCUACCUAUAUGUUUAUAUAAUUUUGAGUUGUUUGUGUUGAGUUAUCAUAAAACUUUCUAUCACAAAACUUAUAGUUGAUCCUGUUGGGUUUAAGUCCCUCUUAGAGCUUAAAAGAAGGUGAAUGAGAAAUGGGGAGAAAAAUAAAAAUUUAAUUUUCUCUCUUUGACAAAGGGACAUUGUCCCAUAUUGGAGAAAAAUACUUUUGAUGGGUAUAUAUACAAUUGCUAUUCUUCUAGCUCUUAAAGAGUUAAGAAGAAGGCGAGCCUCGUGCCGUCGUCAUCGUCGCUCACUCGACUUGGCUUCGAAUUCGGAUUUUGUCAAAUGAUUGAUUGAUUAAUUUUUUUGUAUCAAAUGCAUUUGUAAAUAUUAACGCAAUAUUAAUUAAUACAAAUUAGACCGAUACUGUAACGGUAAUUCAAUUUUCAUCCGUUUUAAUUUUUCCGUUAUAAUUUGAAUUUGGCGGUUUGCAUAAAUGGCCUUUUUACAAAACAACCAUUUUGAGUUGCAACCUUACCUGAGGAGUUGUAACUCUUCAGUAUGACCCAAUAUUUUUGGUUAUAAAUACAUGAACCCUCCCUCAUAUUUUCCUAACGAAAAUUCUGAAUUCUCCUCUUCCUUUCUGCAUUGUUUUAACUACAACAAAGCAACAGUAAAUGUGAUUUAUUGCCGCCAUUUGUGUUUGUUAAAACACUGGGGUUUGAAGUACCGCUACACCAGUGUGCAAUCCGUUCUAUCCUGGGAGGAAAUAAUCUACAACCUCGGGUACUAGGAGGGGGUUAAGUUUCUUAAGGAUACACUGUGAAUUCAGUGGGCUCAGAUUAAUUUCUACUUCUUCUACAUUUCUGUCUAUAUGUUAUUUUCUACUCCAGAAUUAUUUUACAAAUACAGUACUCUAACAAGCUAAAGGAAAUUAAAUUUAUUUUCUGUAUUUGUGUUAUACUCAAUAUUCUGGAGACUAAAACCUUUGUGGUUGUCUACUCCUGUUUUGGAGAUUAAAACCUUCGUGGUUUUCUACUCCAUUUGCUUACUUUAAUGUAUAUUCUGUUUUGGUUUACUAUUUGUUAUUCGGAGAUUAAAAUCCUAGCAAUUUUCUACUCCAUUGGAGACUAAAAUAUACGUGAUUUUCUACUCCAGUUUUAUUCGGUUUGAAGAUAUAAAAAUUUCGUCUUUUAUUAAACGUUUGUUUGUGUCAUUCUUCUACAGAAAUAAUGACAGAGAACGGAAACCAGACUGUUCCUAUGGUGACUGCCAAUGCAUCGACAAGCCGAACAACACCGGCAUUGGCAGAAAAAUUCGGAAAAUUUUGCGGAAUUGAUUUCAAGCGCUGGCAGCAGAAGAUGUUCUUCUACUUGACGACUUUAAGUCUACAAAAGUUCAUUAAGAAAGAUGUUCCUAUUCUCCCCGACGAAACUCCAGACAAUGAAUGCUUUCUCGUGACUGAGGCAUGGAAGCAUUCUGAUUUUCUGUGCAAGAAUUACAUUCUUAGCGGUCUGGAGAACGAUCUGUAUAAUAUCUAUAGUAAUGUGGAGACGUCAAAAGAACUGUGGAUUGCGCUUGAAAAGAAAUACAAAACUGAGGAUGCCGUGUUUAAGAAAUUUGUUGCCGCUAAAUUUUUGGACUACAAAAUGGUUGAUAGCAAGUCUGUUAUUGUCCAAGUCCAGGAAUUGCAAGUGAUUAUUCACGAUCUCCUUGUUGAAGGUAUAAGUCAAAUUAAUACUUAUGUUGAAAGUAUUAAUUAUAUUAUUAUUACUAACAGAAUUUUCAUUGAAGGUCUUAUCAUCAAUGAAGCAUUCCAAGUUGCAGCGAUGAUUGAGAAGUUGCCUCCUUUGUGGAAGGACUUCAAAAAUUACUUGAAACACAAACGCAAGGAGAUGUCGCUUGAAGAUCUCAUUGUUCGGUUGAGAAUCAAAGAGGACAACAAAGCUGCUGAAAAGAAAGGUCGUGGAAACUCCACAAUAAUGGGAGCAAACAUUGUUGAGGAUUCUCCUCAAAAUAAUAGAAAGAGGAAGAAGGCUUCUGGACCAAAAAGCAACCCAAGCAAGAAGCGGUUCAAAGGAAAUUGCUACAACUGUGAGAAAUCUGGGCACAAAUCUGCAUAUUGUCGUGCUCCAAGGAAAGACAAGAAGAAGGGUCAAGUAAACAUGGUUGAAAAGCACGAAGAUAUUGAUGACUUGUGUGCUAUGAUUUCUGAAUGCAACCUGGUGGGAAAUCCUAAGGAGUGGUGGAUUGAUUCUGGAGCCACUCGCCAUGUUUGUGCUGUUAGAGAAAUGUUUGCUACAUAUGCUCUCGUUGGACCCGAAGAGACGCUUUCUAUGGAAAAUUCUGUAACGGCCAAAAUUGAAGGAUGUGGCAAGAUAUUUCCGAAAAUUACUUCUGGCAAGGUGGUGACUCUGAACAACGUCCUUCAUGUUCCUGAGAUUAGGAAGAACUUAGUCUCUAUUGCACUUCUUGUUAAGAACAGGUUUAAGUACGUUUUUGUAUCUGAUAAGGUUGUAAUAAGUAAGAAUGAGAUGUUUGUAGGAAGAGGUUACCUCACUGAGGGCCUUUUCAAACUGAAAGUAAUGGUCAUUGAGAAUAAUAAAAUUUCAGCUUCUUCUUACUUACUUGAGUCAAAUGAUUUUAUGGCAUAUACGUUUGGGACAUGUCAAUUAUAAAACCUUGCAAAAAAUGAUUAAUUUGGAAGUAUUGCCUAAGUUUGAAUGCGACAAAUCAAAAUAUCAAAUAUGUGUGGAUUCUAAGUAUGUUAAACAUCCUUAUAAGUCAAUUGAAAGGAAUUCAAAUCCUUUAGACUUAAUUCACACAGAUAUUUGCGACAUGAAGUCUGUCACGCCCCAAACUCGGGGAGCACGACCGGCGCUCAACCGAGUAAAUCCGGCCGAGCAAGCCUGUUAGAUUUCAUUCUACCCAAACUCAUUCAUGAAAUAAUAGGAGAUGUACUCCAUUAAUCAAACACUGAAAAGAUUUCAUUAACAACUUCCCUUUUCAUUCCCUUUAGCAGCUUCCUUUAUAAUUUCCAAAAUAUUACAAGUUUAUAGAAUUAAUGAAAUACACGGUUUCCAAAUACCAACAUUUCUAGUUCAAUUCCUAACUUCAACCACAACCCACAACCUGUCUACGGAGCCUCUAAGUACAAUAGAAGAGUAAUAUAGAAAUGCCGGCAAUAAGGCCCCGGCUAUACCUCAAAACACAGUACAUGAGAAACAAAAGAUACGUGACCCCGAAAUGAAGUGGGGCUCACCAAAUCAGCUGAAAAGAGUGCACUGCUAUCACUGAUCAAUGUUGCUUGCUGUAGAACCACCUGCAUCCAUUAAAGAUGCAGCGCCCCCGGCAAAAGGGACGUUAGUACUAUCGAAUAGCACUAGUAUGCAUAGCUAAAGUCCUCUUUCAAAAUAGAAUGCCCAUAAAAAAGGGCAACACAUAGAUACAACCGGUCAUAAUCAACAAUAUCCAAAUGUUCAGUUAAAACAUAAUACUUUUCAAAAUAUGAACUUCAUAUACAAUUUUGGUUGGGAGAUCAUUAGCACCGAUAUACCACCGUCUUUAUUAACACAGAGUUUGAUCACGCCCGAUCGGCUAGGCCAUCUCCCCACGAACAAUGUGGUUUGACAUGUGAUGCGAAAGAAAGUUGUUACCAAGAGUAGUAUCACCAUAUGCGCAAUAUGGCGUCUGAUCUCUACCCGAUCAGCUAGGCCGCCUUCCUACAUAUGCCGUGUGAGCUGACUUUUCCAAUCUACAAAGGUUCCAGUUUGAUCCCAAUUAAGGGGAAUAAUAUCACAAUUUCCCAAAGGUUCCAAUUUCACCCCAAAUAAGGGGAAUAAUCUCAAUCUACCCCUACACCGGCACGUGAAGUUUCAGGUGUGGGCCUUAUGACCCACAAUUUCUCAGUUUUGCUAAUGAUGCUCCCAAAAAUAUUUUUGAUUUGAUAUGCAAACAGAAAUAUCAUAAAUACAAUUGUACUUACCUCAACAUCUUUCACAUUGUAUAAAUUCUCAUUAGUAUUUCCAGUCAUUCACAACGACAAUAUUUCCUUGGCUCAUUAGGCCAUUCACAAGAUUCUUUAUUCCCGGCACGAUGGCCGUAUUUCAUAUUCCACACUUUCACCUCUUUCAAUUUCAAAGAUCACCAUCAAGUAUCAACAUAUAGGAUANNNNNNNNNNNNNNNNNNNNNNNNNCUAAUGGGCAUGAAUUGAGUACAAAAAGCCUUUAGGUAAUUCUAUCUUCGAAGUUAUUUUUAAACAAUUGAGUCGAGGCUCAUUUCAUAUUCUUUAUCGCAUCUUCUCAAAUCAUUUACACUACUAGACACAAUCAUAACUUAAAUUCUUGGCACGUAGGCCACACUCUAUAUCCCCAAUUAAUUUAUUUCACUUCCAAUCAUAUUUAUAGAUUAUCAACAAUAAGACAUUUCAUCAAGACUUUAGGUACACCUAUGAGCAAUUAAGAGUCUUAAGAAUGUUGAGAUUUUCUCACACAAUUUGGCAUAUUAUCUUUCAUUGAAACACGACUCAAAGCCAUAACCUUUUAAUACGCAACCCAUACUUUGAAACUUACGGAAAUAUUAUGGAAUUCAAUUCUAGGAGAGAAAGUUUAGCCAACAUACCUCAAUCGAGCUUCCUUAACUCUAGAAUGAUCCGGAAUUCUUAGCAAUCCCGAUCUAUUUUGAGACAUAACAAAAUUGAACCAUAAUUAGGAAGAUAUUCAUUGUCUUAGCUCUUUUGAGCAUUUUAACAAACACUAGGUGUACAAAUUUAACUACAAGGUUCUUCUACAAGAUUUCCUUCACUCCACAACUCAAUCCUUACUUAUUUCAUCUCAAUAAUCUUUCCACAAUUUUUAUUGGUACAUGCAUGUAUAAAUAAUAAUCUCAUACCCAUGAAUCAUACAUCUAAUCAACCAUCUUCUACCCAAAUUCAAAAUUAAAAAUUAGGGUAUGGAACCUUACCUCUUAGAUGAAGAACUUGUGAGUUUUCCUUGUUAAUCUUCCAGGAUUUGAGCAAGACUUGAUGAAUAAUUAGCCUAGGGUUUCCUCUCUGUCUAAAACACUCUCCCUUCACUCUAAAACAUCAGAUUUUUUACUCAAAAAUGACCCUUUGCAUGUAUUUAACGAAGUAUGGUCGGGUUUUAAAAAUCCAAAAUGGAGCUCCAGAACAGGUUCUGCGGUCGCAUAUGCAACCGCAUAUCGGUCGCAUAAUUACAGACCAAAACGAUCAAAAAGCUGUCCGGGUAUGCGAUUACUAUGCGGUCCGCAUAACUGUUAUGCGAUCGCAUAAUGCACCGCACAAUAGUUAUGCGGUCGCAUAGCCGACCGCAUAAUUGCCCCCAGACUGGCCCUGCUCCUGCUCACUUCUGCGGCCAUUAUGCGGCCCGCGGAGUGAUUAUGCGGUCGCAUAAUGGACCGUAUAAAUGCGCUUUUCCGCCAAAAAUUUUUCUUUACUUUCCGGUGCAUUGUUCAACCCAAAAAGUCCGAAUCCUCAAACACGUAAACCUACUCCGGCACCACGUAACCUUGAAUUCACUUGCGAAAUUUACGGGGCUUUACACUGAAAUACUUCAAACUUUUCCGGGGUAUUACAAAGUCAAUACCAUCUCGCGGUGGAAGGAAGUAUUUCAUAACUUUUAUUGACGACAGUACUCGAUAUUGCUAUGAUUACUUAUUUAAUAGUAAAGAUGAAGCAAUAGAUGCAUUCAAGCAAUACAAAAAUGAAGUUGAAACGCAACUUAACAAGAAAAUCAAAAUGAUAAGAAGUGAUAGGGGUGGUGAAUAUGAAUCUCCUUUUGAAAAAAUAUGUUUAGAAUAUGGAAUUAUUCAUCAAACAAUGGCCCCUUACACUCCCCAAUCCAAUGGGAUUGCGGAAAGAAAGAAUCAUUCAUUAAAGGAGAUGAUGAACGCAUUGUUGAUAAGUUUUGGUUUGCCACAGAACUUAUGGGGGGAAGCCAUUCUUACAGCUAAUCGGAUACUAAAUCGAGUACCCCAUAGCAAAACGCAAUCCAUUCCAUAUGAAAAAUGGAAAGGAAGGAAGCCCAACUUGAAUUAUUUUAAAGUGUGGGGGUGUUUGGCAAAAGUGCAAGUUCCUAAACCCAAAAGGGUAAAGAUAGGACCAAAAACUGUUGAUUGUGUUUUCAUAGGAUAUGCAACCAAUAGUAAAGCAUAUCGAUUUAUGGUGCAUAAAUCAGAAAAUCCCGACAUUCAUAAUAAUACGAUUAUAGAAUCAGAUAAUGCUGAGUUCUUCGAGAAUAUAUAUCCGUAUAAAAAGGAAUAUGAGUCAAUUGGUGAAGGAUCUAAAUGACCUCUGGAAGAAACAAAAGAAAGUACGUAUAAUUAGGAGGAUCCAAGACGUAGUAAAUGCCAAAGAACGCCUACUUCAUUUGGACCAGAUUUUGUCACUUUCUUAUUGGAAAAUGAGCCUUGAACAUUUAAAAAAGCUAUGUCUUCUUCGGAAUCAUUAUUUUGGAAAGAGGCAGUCAAUAGUGAAAUAGAAUCCAUACUGAACAACCAUACAUGGGAAUUGAUUGAUCUUCCUCUAGGCAAUAAACCAUUGGGUUUUAAAUGAAUUUUUAAAAGUAAAAUGAAAGAUGAUGGUACUAUUGACAAAUAUAAGGCAAGACUUUUGGUCAAAGGGUAUAGACAACGAGAAGGUCUUGACUAUUUUGAUACAUAAUCUCCAUUUACCAGAAUUACGUCCAUACGAACGUUAGUAGCAUUAGCUAUGGUAUAUGGUCUUGAAAUUUAUCAAAUGGACGUUAAAACGGCUUUCUUAAAUGGAGAGUUGGAGGAAGAAAUUUACAUGGAACAACCUGAAGGGUUUGUAAUUUCAGGUAAAGAAAAGAAGGUAUGCAGACUUGUUAAGUCACUUUACGGACUAAAACAAGCACCCAAACAAUGGCAUGCAAAAUUUGACCAAACAAUAUUGUCAAAUGGUUUUAAGAUAAAUGAAUUUGAUAAAUGUGUGUACAUUAAAAAUGUUGCAAAUUACAUAGUCAUUGUUUGCUUAUAUGUGGAUGAUAUGCUGAUAAUGAGUAAUGACAUUGCCAACAUAAAUGCGACCAAGCGUAUGCUAACUAGCAAGUUCGAUAUGAAAGACUUGGGAGUUGCCGAUUUAAUUUUGGGUAUUAAGAUCCANNNNNNNNNNNNNNNNNNNNNCAUACCCAAGACUUUGCUUUGCACUACAGUAAUUAUCCUGCGGUGAUUGAGGGAUACUGUGAUGCAGAUUGGAUCACCGGUUCAACUGAUUCUAAGUCCACAAGUGGAUAUGUAUUCAUUAUUGGUGGAGGAGUAGUAUCUUGGAAGUCGUUCAAACUAACGUGUUGUCACGACCCAAAAUCCCACCACAGACGUUGUAAUGGCACUUAGUCAUUAAGACUAAGUAAGCCGAGUACAAUUACAUUUCAAGUUUUUUUUAAAUAAACAAUCGAAGUCAACAACGGAAUCAAAUAUGAAAACCUCCCAAGACUGGUAAUACUGAGUCACGAACUCUAACUGAAUACAUGAAAUGAUCUCAAGGAUCGAAUACUCAAUACUAUUUGAAUAAUAAUUAAUAGUACAAUAAAAUGGAAAGACUCCAAGGAACUGCGACGACAAAGCAGCUCUACCUUGAAUCCUUGCGAUAGCACUCUAACUCUGUCUGAGUCCGAUAUCUUCAAUACCUGACUCUGCACAAAAAUGUGCAGAAGUGUUGUAUGAGUACACCACGGUCGGUACCCAAUAAGUAUCAAGACUAACCUCAGUGGAGUAGAGACGAGGUACAAUCAAGACACUCACUAGUCUAAUAACUAUCGUUCACAUAUAAUUCCUCCGAAUAAAUCUCUUUCAAAUAUAAUUCCCUCAAAUAAAUAUCUUUCAAAUAUAAUUCCUUCAAAUAAAUCUCUCUUAAAUAUAAUUUUCACAAAUAAAUAUCUUUCAAAUAUAAUUCUUUCAAAUGAAUCUCUAUCAAAUAUAAUUUUCUCAAAUAAAUAUCUUUCAAUAUAAUUCUUUCAAAUAAAUCUCUCUCAAAUAUAAUUUCCUUAAAUAAAUAUCUUUCAAAUAUAAUUAUUUCAAAAAAAUCUCUUUCAAAUAUAAUUUUCUCAAAUAAAUAUCUUUCGAAUAAAAGUCACCCUGUGACACCUCAUUUUAAAAUCUAAAGUACGGGUCUCAGCCCAAUUUCAUAUUUUUACGGCACCUCGUUCCAAUUUCUCUAUCACAACCGCACGGACAACUCACGUGCCAAUUAUCAUUAUCAUUUAACUACAAUACCUCGUGCCCACAUUUCAUAUCACAACUGCACGGACAACUCACGUGCCAAAUAUCAUCAUCAUAUUUUUUCCGGCACCUCGUGCCCACAUUUCAUAUCUAUUGCGGCGUGCAACCCGAUCCCACAUAAUAUUAAUCAUACAUGUUACGGCGUGCAACCCGAUCCCAUAUAAUAUAAUCUGCCUGGCAAUAGCCACAGACUCCCAAUUUUAACAUAAAUCAUACUGUUAUCAAUUUACCAAUAACAAGAUAAAUUGCACAAGGUAUAAAAAUAAACAUAAGGAAAAUCACAACAUCACACAAAAGUUACCAACGCAAUAACUCCACAUCAUCACAUAGCAUCCCUGAUAAUAGCCACCCUUAUCUCUCAUAUAGCUACCCUUAUCACUCCUAUAAUAGCCUCCCUUAUNNNNNNNNNNNNNNNNNNNNNNNNNNNNNNNNNNNNNNNNNNNNNNNNNNNNNNNNNNNNNNNNNNNNNNNNNNNNNNNNNNNNNNNNNNNNNNNNNNNNNNNNNNNNNNNNNNNNNNNNNNNNNNNNNNNNNNNNNNNNNNNNNNNNNNNNNNNNNNNNNNNNNNNNNNNNNNNNNNNNNNNNNNNNNNNNNNNNNNNNNNNNNNNNNNNNNNNNNNNNNNNNNNNNNNNNNNNNNNNNNNNNNNNNNNNNNNNNNNNNNNNNNNNNNNNNNNNNNNNNNNNNNNNNNNNNNNNNNNNNNNNNNNNNNNNNNNNNNNNNNNNNNNNNNNNNNNNNNNNNNNNNNNNNNNNNNNNNNNNNNNNNNNNNNNNNNNNNNNNNNNNNNNNNNNNNNNNNNNNNNNNNNNNNNNNNNNNNNNNNNNNNNNNNNNNNNNNNNNNNNNNNNNNNNNNNNNNNNNNNNNNNNNNNNNNNNNNNNNNNNNNNNNNNNNNNNNNNNNNNNNNNNNNNNNNNNNNNNNNNNNNNNNNNNNNNNNNNNNNNNNNNNNNNNNNNNNNNNNNNNNNNNNNNNNNNNNNNNNNNNNNNNNNNNNNNNNNNNNNNNNNNNNNNNNNNNNNNNNNNNNNNNNNNNNNNNNNNNNNNNNNNNNNNNNNNNNNNNNNNNNNNNNNNNNNNNNNNNNNNNNNNNNNNNNNNNNNNNNNNNNNNNNNNNNNNNNNNNNNNNNNNNNNNNNNNNNNNNNNNNNNNNNNNNNNNNNNNNNNNNNNNNNNNNNNNNNNNNNNNNNNNNNNNNNNNNNNNNNNNNNNNNNNNNNNNNNNNNNNNNNNNNNNNNNNNNNNNNNNNNNNNNNNNNNNNNNNNNNNNNNNNNNNNNNNNNNNNNNNNNNNNNNNNNNNNNNNNNNNNNNNNNNNNNNNNNNNNNNNNNNNNNNNNNNNNNNNNNNNNNNNNNNNUGAAAUGCCACCCUUAUACCCACAUAAUNUCAACAGUGAAUGCCACCAUUAUAUUCUCAAAAUAAUAACUCAAAUAACACAAUAAUUUACACGGAAUAUUAUCACGGGAACAUAACAAAAUCAAUUCAUAUCACGAUUUGCCCAAUGGCCACAACCCAUUCUAAAGAUAUAACAAAAUCAAUUAAUUUCACAAUAAAUAGCCCAAGGCUCCACACAAUGUGUGUAAGACCUCAAAAAUAAUCAACAGAGAUAGAAAAUAAUCAGCAUAGGGCGACGCCUUCAUUAAUCCAAAUUUUGAUAAUUAUAUUUAUACUUCUUCUUAAGUUUGUUUAAUUAAUUAUUUGCAGAUGGAAAAUCCAUAAUGAAAUUAAAUUCUAAGAAAUAUCAAAUCAUCAAUUUCACGGAAUCCACAUAAAUAUACAAGUAAUGAUCACAUCAAAUUAUCAUACAAAAACAAAUUCAACAAACGUGAAUUGAGGCAUGGCAAAUAGACGAUUUAAUAAAUGCCAACAAUUAUCCAAUUUACUACAUAAUAUGCCUAAUACUUUAACCCAAUAUAGUUUUCACAUAUAAGCCCGAGUACGUACUUGUCACCUUGCGUACAUGACUUUUCACAUUUCACAAAAAUGGCACAUAAGUCUCGAUGCCUAAGGGGUAAUUCCCUCACUUAAGGUUAGGCAAGAUACUUAUCUUUUUGAAGUUAUCGUGAUAUUUCAAAAUUGCCUUCUUGGUUGAAUUGAACUCCGGACCAUUUAAAUCUAUCCAAAUUAAUUGUAUAACUUCAUUAAAAUUUAUCAAAAAUAAUUCCGGAUAAUAAUACGUCGACUUAAAAAUUUAUUCCUAAAAGUCAAUAAAAGUCAAUGCGGGACCCGCCUCUCGGAACCUCGACAUAAUUUUUAUGAAAUUCGAGCACGCAUUCCGAUACGAGUUCAACCAUACCAAUUUUAUCAAAUUCCGAUAACAACUCGACCUCCAAAUCUUAAAUUUUCGUUAUUGGAAGAUUUUGCCAAAAUCCUGAUUUCUUCCAUUAAAAUCCGAAUUAAACGAUGAAUAUAAUCAUAGAUUCAUGAAAUAUAAAUAAUUUAGGAUAUAGAACACUUACCCCAACCAAUAUUGUGAAAAAUCCCUCCAGAAUCGCCCAAAUCCGAGCUCCAAGAAUUUCAAUCGAAAUGAAGAAAUGACUGAUUUUCGACCCCUUAUGUUUUUGUCCAUUUUUGCUUCUGCGGACACAUUUGUCACACAUGCGAGCUCAUUUUUGCGAGCCAAAAUCUGCUUAUGUGGAAUUCCACUGACCAGAUACCCUCGCACCUGCGGAGUUCUUUUCGCUUCUGCGUAACCGCAGAAGCGACGACCAUUUGCGCACCUGCGAAGAUCCUGCGCUUUUGCGCUCCAUGUACCGCAUCUGCGAUCACGCAGGUAUGGUAAAUUCUUCGCACCUAUGACCUCAGUCCACCCCAUCCAAUUUCUCUUCUGCGAGCUUCAUCUCGCUUAUGCGAUGGUCGCACAUGCGUACAUAAUUCCGCAGGUGCGAUUCCAAUAGCUGCUGCCAUUUUCCAGCAGCUUCCUUCAAGUCCAAAUUGCUCUGUUAACCUUCCGAAAUCCACUCGAGGCCCUCGGGACUUUAACCAAAUAUACCAAUAUGUCCCAAAAUAUAAUACGAACUUAGUCGAGGCUUCAAACCACGUCAAACAACGCCGAAAUUAUGAAUCGCGCAUCGAAUCGAAUUAUGAGUUUUCAAAUCUUUCAACUUCUAUAUUUUGUACCGAAACGUAUCAAAUCAAUCCGGAAUGACUUUAAAUUUUGCACAUAAGUCAUAAAUGAUAUAAUGGAGCUAUUCUAAUUUUCAAAAUCUAAAUCCGACCUCGUUAUCAAAAAUUCAACCUUCGGUCGAACUUUUCAAAAAUCUUCUAUUUUUUAACUUUCACCAAAAUGCGUCGAAUUGUCCUACGGACUUCCAAAUCCAAAUCCGAAUAUUCGCCUAAGUCCAAAAUUAUCAUACGAAGCUAUUGCCAUCAUCGAAAUUUUAUUCUGGGGUCGUUUGCUCAAAAGUCAACUCUCGGGUCAACUCUUUCCAUUUAAGCUUCUAAACAAGAAUUGUUCUUUUAAUUUAAUUCCGAAUCUUCCGAAAAUCAAACUCGACCACAGCCGUGGAUCAUAAUACAUAUUACGAAACUGCUCGAGACCUUAAGUCACUGAACGGGGAGUUAAUUCUUAAAAUGACAAGUCGGGUCGUUACACGUGUAUUGCCCGCUCUACAAUAAAGGCUGAAUUUAUAGCCUUAGAUAAAGCGGGUGAAGAAGCCAAAUGGCUCAGAAAUUUCUUGGAAGAUAUUCCAUUUUGGCCCAAACCGUUGGCACCAAUAUGCAUACAUUGUGAUAGUUAAGCAACAAUUGAAAGGACCGAGAGCGUUAUGUAUAACGAUAAAUCUCGUCAUAUACGACGAAGACAUAAAACCGGUAGGCAGCUACUCUCUAGGGGGAUCAUCAAAAUUGACUACGUAAAGUCAAGCGAUAAUGUGUCAGAUCCACUUACAAAAGGCCUAACUAGAGAGGUAAUUGAAAUAUCAUCGGGGGGAAUGGGACUAUGGCCGAGAACAAGUCAUUGUAGCGGUAACUCUACCUAGAAGACUGGAGAUCCCAAGAUCUAGGUUAAAGGAGAUCAAACAAAGUCAUUAAUGACGGUUCAACAUUGUCAACAAAAAUGUUUGGUCCAUUCUCGUGAUAAGACAAUGUUCAGUACCAAGGAUAAAUCACUAAGGCUUUUUAAUGGUUUCUAAAUUUGAUACGGGGUAUAUCAAAUAGUGUAUCUACGGGAUAACACGUUUAGGAAUCACCUAUGUAAGUAUGAAGUGUUAGCCGCUUCAAGAAGAACUUUGUAAGGCCAGUUCUCUACGCACUUAUGAAAUCAGGUGGUGUUCAUGGCUGAAACGAACACAACAAUGAGAACCAAAGACGGUUAAGGGUUGAUUAUGUGACUUAUGGUUGUCUAGGUAUACACCAAAGUUUGACGGUUCAAAGAUAUCAAAUCUACCGAUUGAUCGAGUAUAUCCGACAUAAGUUCACUACGAAAAAUUCAAAGGAAAACCUACUUAUCCAGAUGCAAUUAAUCCUUGCUUGUAAAUCACACAAUAUUUCAUGCAUAUUUCCGUAAUAUAGUCAUUCCUCAUUCAUGUGGGGUAUUGUUGGGUUAAGCCCCUCUUAGAGCUUAAAAGAGGGUAAAUGGGAAAUGGAUGGAAAAAUAAAAAUUUGAUUUUCCCUCCUUGACAAAGGACAUUGUCCCAUAUUGGAGGAGAAAAAGACUUUUGAUGGGUAUAUAUACAAUUGCUCUUCUUCUAGCUCUUAAAGAGUUAAGAAGAAAGCAAGCCUCGCGCCGUCGUCGUCGUCGCUUGCUCGGCUCGGCUUCGGCUUCGGCUUCGGAUUCGGAUAUGGUCAAUUGAUUGAUUAAUUUUUUGGACCAAAUUUAUUUGUUAAUAUUAACGCAAUAUUAAUUAAUCCAAAUUAGACCGUUACUAUAACGGUAAUUCAAUUUUCAUCCAUUUUAAUUUUUCCGUUAUAAUUUGAAUUUGGCGGUUUGCAUAAAUGGCCAUUUUACAAAACAACCAUUUUGAGUUGCAACCUUACCUGAAGAGUUGUAACUCUUCAGUAUAACCCAAUAUUUUUGGCUAUAAAUACAUGAACCCUCCCUCAGAUCUUCCUUACGAAAAUUCUGAUUGAAUUUGGUAGUUUGCAUAAAUGGCCAUUUUACAAAACAACCAUUUUGAGUUGCAACCUUACCUGAAGAGUUGUAACUCUUCAGUAUAACCCAAUAUUUUUGACUAUAAAUACAUGAACCCUCCCUCAGAUCUUCCUUUCUGCAUUGUUUUAACUACAACAAAGCAACAGUAAGUGUGAUGUGUUGCCGCCAUUUGUGUUCGUUGAAACAUUGGGGUUUGAAGUACCGCUACACCAGUGUGUAAUCCGUUCUAUCCUGGGAGGAAAUAAUCCACAACCUCGAGUACUAGGAGGGGAUUAAGUUCCUUUAGGAUACACUGUAAAUUCAGUGGGCUCGAAUUAGUUUCUACUUCUUUUACAUUUUUGUCUAUACGUUAUUUUCUUCUCCAAAAUUAUUUUACAAAUACAGUACUCUAACAUAUCCUGGUCAUGACUAAUGAGCAAACGGUGAAGGUUUCUGUACAUUAGAGUGGCGAGAUUGUGCAUAAAGACAGUUCAGUUCAAUAUAUUUGUGGCCCUGGUAACGAGUGGCAAGUUCCCUACUUCACUCAAGGACGUCACUUUGCUAAAAGAAAUUUCUGCUAUUAUAAAUCAUCUCAAUGAAGAUAAAUUAAAAAAAAUUAAAGUUACAUUAUUUUUAAAUAUUUUGUAAUUCGUUUUAGACGCACUAAAUUUCAGUACAUCCAAUAGAAUGCUAUCAAUAUUCCUAGCGUCACAUGUAUAUCGCUUAGGUUACUGUAGUCUGUAUCAGAAAAGAAAAUUUUAUAUUUAUUUCCUUGCUAUUUACUCCUCAGUUCAGUUUUAUUUGUCCUUAUUUUAAAAAUAGAUUUUCACUUUUACUUGUCCACUUUCGUGUAUGAAGAGAAAAGUAAUUUAUUUUUCUUGUUUUGUCCUUUGGUCAUUUCAAAUUAUUUUUCAAAUUCAUUAAAAUUAUAUACUAAUUAAUAUGAGUAUCAUGAUAAAUUAUGUAAUUUAUUUAUUAUUUCUUACGGGCAUACAAAUUAAUUAAAAGUGAACGGAGGAAGUAUCUUGGAAGAACUCCGGGUGCCUCUCUUCACAGUAUCGGCCAUUUAUGAUGAAACACGUAUAUGACCCAAACAAGACGCAAACUUGACAACUACGAUGUGGAAAACUGACAUUUAACAAAUUAAUCAAAGCCCCAUUUAACCUUAUUAGUUGAAAAGUCUCUGCCUACCUUAAAUCUGAGUCCUAUAAAUACCCACACACAUAACUAAACGUUCUAACUCAAAAAGCAUAAGAAAGAAGAGAGGAAAAUGGAGUUUUCUGGAUCACCACUGACAUUGUUUUGUUGUGUGUUUUUCCUGUUCCUAACAGGGAGCUUGGCACAAGGCAUUGGCUCAAUUGUAACGAAUGACUUGUUCAACGAGAUGCUGAAGAAUAGGAACGACGGUAGAUGUCCUGCCAAUGGCUUCUAUACUUAUGAUGCAUUCAUAGCUGCUGCCAAUUCCUUUCCUGGUUUUGGAACUAGUGGUGAUGAUACUGCCCGUAGGAAAGAAAUUGCUGCCUUUUUCGGUCAAACUUCUCAUGAAACUACAGGUAAUUUGACUUAUCAUCCCUCAACUGUAAUCUUAGCAAUGCUGCUAAUUUGUUUUUGACUCUGUUUGCAUUGUAGUACUGAAUCAAUAUAUGAAAGUGUCUAUCGAUCGGGUGCAAUUUACCAAGUUGUCUGGUUUAUUUUUUAUGUUACUAAUUCCACUUAUUAUUAGAAGGUGUAACAUUUGUUCUUUCGCAGGUGGUUCCCUGAGUGCAGAACCUUUUACAGGAGGAUAUUGCUUUGUUAGGCAAAAUGACCAGAGUGACAGAUAUUAUGGUAGAGGACCCAUCCAAUUGACAAAGUACGUAAGAAAGAUCAAUAGAAUACCAAUUGUUGAAAAAUCACCUUAAAUGACCUUUGACAGGGGCAAUUAUAUUAAGGGUCAUUUCUCUAUAUCUGUUUCAUACGGAGUAUUAAAUAAGAACACUGAAAAUGCAUAUAUUUAGUGCCAUAAUGACUGAUUUUGAAAUGAUAAACUUUUGCAGCCAAAAUAACUAUGAGAAAGCUGGAAAUGCAAUUAGACAAGACCUAGUUAACAACCCAGAUUUAGUAGCUACAGAUGCUACUAUAUCAUUCAAAACAGCUAUAUGGUUCUGGAUGACACCACAGGAUAAUAAGCCAUCAAGCCACGACGUUAUCAUCGGUAGUUGGACUCCGUCCGCCGCUGAUCAGUCGGCGAAUCGAGCACCUGGUUACGGUGUAAUUACCAACAUUAUUAACGGUGGAAUUGAAUGUGGCGUAGGUCCGAAUGCCGCAGUGGAAGAUCGAAUUGGAUACUACAGGAGGUAUUGUGGUAUGUUGAAUGUUGCUCCUGGGGACAACUUGGACUGUUACAACCAAAGGAACUUCGCCCAAGGCUAGGAUUCGUUAGAUCAUGUUAUGUGUACACAAGUUAUAUUUGUAUGUAAUGAAUAAGGGGAUUGUGUACCCAUUUAGAAUAAGGGGAAAUAUUUCUGUUAUUUGUCUUCUUCGAAAGAAUAACCAGUAGUUCCUAUAUAUCUGGUGCUUCGAGUGAAAACGAAUAUUCUAUCCGGAAAUAAAUACUGUAUGUUUCUUGUCUUAUAAUAUGGAGUGUCAGAUUUUGAUAAAACUUGUAAUUUCCCCUAUAGUGAAUUUAUUUAUAUAGUUCUUGCAUUUCUCCGCUCAAAACGAUUUUUUAAAAAGGGGGAUCGAACUCUAAAAUCUAAAAGAUCAUGAAUUGCUUUGGAUGUUCUCUAGUUUGUAGACAAAUAAUAUAAUCAGCGUUUGGAGAAAAUCUAAUACAGUCAAACCUCUAUAUAACAAUACUUCUCUAUAAAAGCCAAGUUUUUUCUGAACCAAUUUUUAUGUUAUAUUAUAAUAUAUGUUCUUUAUAACAUUACUUCGCUAUAACAUCCAAAAAUAUUCGGUACAAACGAGAGGUUUAACUGUAUAUAUCCAACGACAUACCCAAAUAUAGAGCCAGAAGUAUGGAAUGAACUAUUUUCUUUUUUUGUCCAAAACAAAUAUAGCUUAAAAGUAAAGAAGACGUCAAUUUUUUUUUUCUAGUAUAGCUUUACUCCAGUAAAUUAUCUAAAAAGUCUAAGGAGCUUUACUUCAGUAAAUGAUCUAGCUUUAGUCAAAAUAAUUCAAACGAUUAAUGUUAUUAAAUAAUUUUUGUAAUGAAUCUGUCAAAACAUUUAAUGAACACUUAUUUUGAAUCACAAGGAACCGAUAUUGAUGUCCAAAUAAGUAUCGCGGCAUUGCUAUUUGCAACUUUAGAAAGUUUUCUUUGGAAAAAAAGAAUUUCAGUCAUGGAAUUAUCGUACUUUAUGUCAAAAAAGUAAGUUUGCACCCUUAUGUCUCAGUGUUGGCAAAUGGGUGAGUGAUGUUGAAUUUAAACAAGUUGAGAGCGAGUUUUUUCAAGGUCACUUGAUUUUGUCGCUCUUUACAAAUUUAUUUUAAGUUUUAUGGCCCUAAUUAUUUUUUACACAUGUGAAAUUUACUUUUAGAGGUGAGAGAUCUGUCUUUUACAGAUAAAAGAUAAGGUCAUUUUUUUAAUUUUAAAAUAAUAAAAGGGACAUGAUAUAAGCAAAUUGAACUGUCACAUAAAUUUGUGUUGAAAUUGUCAUCACUAGUUUUCUUUCUAAUCUAACAAAAGGGUUUGAGUGAAGCGAUCUUAGUAUUCAACUAGCUACAUUAGGGUUGUUCAAAAUCAAAUCAAAACUGUUAACCGAACUGAAUCGAUGACUUAUUGGAUUAUUGGUAUCAGAUUAUCGGGGUAAUGGAUGGUGAACAGAUUGAGAUUUUAUAAUUAACCGCUUAACGAUUUGGGAGCGAAUUACUAAAAUUAUUUUAUCGGAUAAAUCGUUAACCUGUUAAGAAUUUUUAUAUUUACACUUUCCUAUGGAUCUUGAAGUAGCAAGAACUCUUAAGACUCGACGUCCAUUCCAAUUUAUAACUUUCCCACCAUAAUUUUCAAUUAAAUCCAGCUCAUCAAAUCUGUUAGAAUACGUACAGGAAGUUAGUCAACAAAACCACCCAUAAAAAAGAAUCUAUUUCAAUAUUAUACCAAAAUAUUUCUAUUUGGUUUCGACGAUAAACCGCCCGAUAAUCGUUAAUCUGAUACCAAUCCGCCCGUUAUCUUAUCGGAUGGCUAGCGGAUUACUAUAUUUAUAAUCUGAUAACCAAUAAGUCGAACCGUUAAGCAUAAUUAUCUGCCCGUUAAGCACCCUCAUAGAAACUAAGGGUCCACCAAACUAUAUAGAGAACCAGGUUCUCUAUAAGUUCCAACAUAACGCACGCACACAUCAGUAAGUAAAUGACACAAUAAAAUUUUACGUGAAAAACUCCCAAAUCACGGGAUUAAAAACUACGACCUACCCUUGUAGGAUUUCAACUUCACUACCGAGCAAACUUUAGAUUACAAUCUAUUGUAACCUAGGAAUUAACCUCUUAAUCUCUCACUAACUUGUAACAGCUCUAUUACAAGCUACUUUGUAAUAACUCUAUUACAAAGACUUACAACUCCACUAACUCUAGCCAAGACACAAACACAAGGCUUAUGAUUUUAUAAUGAUUUCCUACACAAUGCUUCUAACUAAGCUAAGUAGGAAUUACAAGUAAAGUGCUUUAACAAAGGUGCAACACAACUAAAGACAUGUAAUGACUCAAUACAGGAAAUUGGUCCUUCGUUAUGUUGUUCUCUAUUCUUGAUGCCCUUGAGAAUCACUUGCGAGAUUGACACAGACUUGAGAGAAUUUCUUGACUCGAUUCUGAAUGUGCAAGUGUUUUGGUUUACCUUUACUUGAUGUUAGUAAUUUAUUUGUGACAUUAUUUAUAUGAUGCAAGUAAGAUAGGUAAAUGGCAUUCCCUAUAAAGUUGACUGUUGCACUAGUUUUGCACUGUUGCGUGUGCAGGUAGCAACUUUACAGCUGUUGGGAGUUGACUUGUACCGUCACUAAGGGAACUGGUGGCCAUCUAUUCCCUAUAGUGAGUUUAUUUAUAUAGUUCUUGCAUUUCUCCGCUCAAAAACAUUUUAAAAAAAAGGGGAUCAAACUCUAAAAUCUAAAAGAUCAUGAAUUGCUUUGGAUGUUCUCUAGUUUGUAGACAAAUAAUAUAAUCAGCGUUGGAGAAAAUCUAAUACAGUCAAACCUAUUUAUAACAACAUCUCUAUAUAACAACACUUCUCUAUAAAAGCCAAGCUUUUUCGGAACCAAUUUUUAUGUUAUGUUAUAAUAUAUGUUCUCUAUAACAUUACUUCGCUAUAACAUCCAAAAAUAUUCGGUACAAACGAGACUGUUAUAGAGAGAUUUAACUGUAUAUAUCCAACGACAUACCCAAAUAUAGAGCUAGAAGUAUGGAAUGAACUACUUUCUUUUUUUGUCCAAAACAAAUAUAGCUUAAACGUAAAAAAGAUGUCAAUAUGUUUUCCCUAGUAUAGCUAUACUCAAGUAAAUGAUCUAAAAAGUAUAAGGAGUUUUACUCCCGUAUCUAUACUAUAUUAAAAGCACGAAGGCCCUUAACGAAAUAUCGUUCGCCUUUUUUACCCUUUAGAAAAAGGUUUCACAUUAGACAAAGUUAUAAUUUGUUUUUAACUUUCUUAAGAUCUAGCACUUUAAAAUCAACUAAAAUUUUGGUUAUUAAAUAUUUUCUUAUUAAAUUAGGUAAAAAGUCCUAAUAUUUAGGAAAUUAAAAUCAAUAAAUUCUUUUCCUUAUAAAUCUUUUCUUAUUUUAAAUUGUUAAUAUCUUACUUCUUUUUUUCUAUAAAUAAAACUAUAACAAUAACGUGUAGAUGCUCCAGUAUUCUCUAACCACAAAUAGAAGAGAGUAUAUGGAUAGAGAUAUUAACACAUAUCUUACGUCUUAUUUUUGCUUUUGGGGGAAUUAUUGUUGCACCUCUUUAAUUUCAUAUCGAUAAUAUUAAAGUCACAUAUUUUAUAUUAUAUAUUUUUCAUCAACUCAUUUUAAAAGUAUGAUGUUGAACAUGAAAAUUUUUCCAUAUUAUAUUUAAAUUCUAGAAAAAGCUGUCUAUAACUCUUUUUUUUUUUUGUUUGGUUGUGCAUAAAAGAUUUAUACACCUAUGGUCCUAUACCGAGUUACUUGAAUAAAAAGUCUCAAUAUCCUUUUCUAUUCCAUUUACUAUUUAGCUAAAGCUAACAUAAAGAAUAUAGUAUUAUUCUAUUGUAUUUCUUUAUUUUUGUUAUUCGUUAUACGAACAUGAAUAUAUACAAUAAAUUUUUCUACCUUCAUGAGCCGAUUUAUAUUUAUUUUGGUUUAAUGUGUAUGAAACUAUAAGCAAUUAUUAGAAGAUACAUUAAAAUUUAUUUUUCAUAUUAUGCUAACUAGCAUGAAGGACAAAUGCACGGCUAUAGACAAUAGGGUGGCCAAAUUUCGCCUUACCAACCCCAAAAAAACUCCGAAUACAGGCCUAGAUCGUUUGUACAGAUAAUAUUUUUGGGUUCUAAGAUCAAAAGUUGAGAGAAAAAUAGCCAAGAUCGUACGCUAAGGUCCCUAAUCAAUCACUUAGUGAAAAAGAAAAGUGAAUCGAGCGAUGACAACCAGGAGUAGAUAAAAGACAAUAUUUGAUUGUCCAUAAAACUCGGUAAAUAUAAAAGAUAACAUUUGAUACAUUCAGAUGUAGAAUCUGCUAGAUGCAUGGUUAUGGAUGGAGAAAUAAACCUCUCUAAAAAAAAAGAGUAGAAUAUGGAUGCUAUUUUUUGAUAGUAAAUUUUUUUUAAUUUGUUAGAAUAACUUCUACAAUAUUUUUUAUCGAUUAAGAAAGAAAUAUUUGAAUAGACCUCUUAUAUCAAUUAAUUUAUGUCUUUUAGAAUGAGCUUGAGAAUAUAUAACUUUCAAAUUAUUUUUAGUUAACUUUUAAAUCUCCAAUAAGGUUAUAUGUUCUUGUUGAAACUAAAAAAAAAA